GAUGAACGCUGGCGGCGUGCCUAAUACAUGCAAGUCGAGCGAACGGACGAGAAGCUUGCUUUUCUGAUGUUAGCGGCGGACGGGUGAGUAACACGUGGAUAACCUACCUAUAAGACUGGGAUAACUUCGGGAAACCGGAGCUAAUACCGGAUAAUAUUUUGAACCGCAUGGUUCAAAAGUGAAAGACGGUCUUGCUGUCACUUAUAGAUGGAUCCGCGCUGCAUUAGCUAGUUGGUAAGGUAACGGCUUACCAAGGCAACGAUGCAUAGCCGACCUGAGAGGGCGAUCGGCCACACUGGAACUGAGACACGGUCCAGACUCCUACGGGAGGCAGCAGUAGGGAAUCUUCCGCAAUGGGCGAAAGCCUGACGGAGCAACGCCGCGUGAGUGAUGAAGGUCUUCGGAUCGUAAAACUCUGUUAUUAGGGAAGAACAUAUGCGUAAGUAACUGUGCACAUCUUGACGGUACCUAAUCAGAAAGCCACGGCUAACUACGUG
rnacentral:rRNA from 1 species